UUUCCGUAGGUGAACCUGCGGAAGGAUCAUUAAAAAAUUGGACUCCAUUGGUGAGUUCAUUAAUAAUCCCUACCCUUUGUGAAUUUGUUUGUUUGAAUAAUUUUUUUUCCAAAAAAAAUUAUUGAAUGUCUUUCCUUGUUUUGGUGGAGCUUGUAAAGUGAAACCAGGCAGGGGAAUGGCAAACAAUAAUUAUUUUUGAAAAAGACCUUUUUUUAAAAUUAAACUUUUUGUAUUCAUUUGUCUAAAAUUAAUUUUUAUAAUAUAAAAACAACUUUUGACAAUGGAUCUCUUGGUUCUCGCAACGAUGAAGAACGCAGCAAAAUGCGAUAAGUAGUGUGAAUUGCAGAAUACGUGAAUCAUCGAAUCUUCGAACGCAUAUUGCACUUUUUUAGUUUACUAAAAAAGUAUGUCUGUUUGAGUAUCAGUAAAAUAUUCUCAUAAAAAACAUUGUUUUUUUUAUGGUUAUGAGUGUUUUACAACGAUAACAAGUUGUUUCACUUUAAAUUCUUUGUUAUCAAAAAAAUCAUUAAAAGCUAAUUUUAAAGAUUUUUUAAAAUUGGAUAAAAUUUUCCCGUAAAAAGGAAUAACCUAAACAAUUUUAAAAAAUUAAAAUUGGUUUGAUUUUUUUUGAAACCCAAAGGAAAAAAAACGAAAUUAACUUGAUCUCAAAUCAGAUAAGAGUACCCGCUGAACUUAAGCAUAUCAAUAAGCGGAGGAAAAGAAACUAACUAGGAUUCCCUCAGUAACGGCGAGUGAAGCGGGAAGAGCUCAAAUUUGAAAUCUUCAAGGUUUUACCUUGACGAAUUGUAGUUUAAAGAAGUGUUUUCUGUUGGAGUUUUGGUAAAAGUUCUUUGGAAAAGGACAUCAUAGAGGGUGAGAAUCCCGUAUUUGACCAUUAUCUCCAGCUUUGUGAUACACUUUCAAAGAGUCGGAUUGUUUGGGAAUGCAGUCCAAAAUGGGUGGUAAAUUUCAUCUAAAGCUAAAUACUGGCGAGAGACCGAUAGCGAACAAGUACCGUGAGGGAAAGAUGAAAAGAACUUUGAAAAGAGAGUUAAACAGUACGUGAAAUUGUCAAAAGGGAAGCGUUUGACACCAGUGUUGUUUUCUCGAAAAUCAAUUAAAAAAGGCCGGAUUUUGUGUUGUAUUGACUUUAUCAGCUUUCUGCACUCUUUUCUUGUCUUUUUUAAUGCACUUUUCGUUUAACAAGUCAACAUCAAUUUCUUUUGUUGUAAAAGGGUCAUUGGAAGGUGGCUUUCUUUUCGGAGAAAGUGUUUAUAGCCUUUGGCCUCUGCAAUCGGAGAGAUUGAGGUCUGCAGCGUAGAUCCUUCGGGUUAGAUACAUUUGUGCUAAGUUAUAGCCUUUCAUAGACAACUUGUUGACUAUGAUCAGUCAUGUAGCUUACUCGCUUAUGCUAUUUUACCUACGCUUAGGAUGUUGAG
rnacentral:misc_RNA from 1 species